rnacentral:rRNA from 1 species
UACGUAGGGACCAAGCGUUGUUCGGAUUUACUGGGCGUAAAGGGCGCGUAGGCGGUCGUGACAAGUCACUUGUGAAAUCUCCGGGCUUAACUCGGAACGGUCAAGUGAUACUGUCGGACUAGAGUACAGAAGGGGCAACUGGAAUUCUCGGUGUAGCGGUGAAAUGCGUAGAUAUCGAGAGGAACACCUGCGGCGAAGGCGGGUUGCUGGGCUGAUACUGACGCUGAUGCGCGAAAGCCAGGGGAGCGAACGGG